rnacentral:RNase_P_RNA from 1 species
CCAGUUGGCUGGGCAGCCGCGCUUUACCAAUGCCGAAAGGCGGUAGGGUGAGGAAAGUCCGGGCUCCACGGAAACACGGUGCCGGAUAACGUCCGGCGAGGGCGACCUCAGGGAAAGUGCCACAGAAAGCAAACCGCCUGUCAUUACAGGUAAGGGUGAAAGGGUGGGGUAAGAGCCCACCGCAUCUCCGGCAACGGAAAUGGCACGGUAAACCCCACCGGGAGCAAGACCGAAUAGGGAUGACGCGGUGGGCCGAAAGGCCUUCCGGCCGGUUUCCAGGCCAGUCAUCCGGGUGGGUUGCGUGAGGCAGCGUGCGAACGCUGUCCCAGAGGAAUGGCUGCCACGUUCCGGUUCACGCCGGAGCCAUACAGAACCCGGCUUACAGGCCAACUGGCGAU